UACGGGGGGAGCAAGCGUUGUUCGGAUUUACUGGGCGUACAGGGAGCGUAGGCGGUUGGAUAAGCCCUCCGUGAAAUCUCCAGGCUUAACCUGGAAAGUGCAGAGGGGACUGUUCAGCUAGAGGAUGGGAGAGGAGCGCGGAAUUCCCGGUGUAGCGGUGAAAUGCGUAGAGAUCGGGAGGAAGGCCGGUGGCGAAGGCGGCGCUCUGGAACAUUUCUGACGCUGAGGCUCGAAAGCGUGGGGAGCAAACAGGG
rnacentral:rRNA from 1 species